rfam:Gossypium hirsutum cultivar TM-1 chromosome 16, whole genome shotgun sequence
GGUUAAAACUUUCAUAUGUUUGUACUGUUAAAAAUUAAUGUGGUUGUUAGAAUAAUCGAACAAUGACACAUGACGUGCCACUUGUACCUCAUGCUGAUUUAUAAAGAUCAGUUUUUAACAGUAAAAAUGGAUGAAUUUUUUUAUA